rnacentral:misc_RNA from 1 species
AAUCCAAUCAAGCCUGGCUUGGUAUUGGGCGCCAGGACGUCCCCGCGCCCCAAUUUCACCGGCUGGCCGUCGCCCGUCUUAGCGUUUAUGACUUAGUUCCGCUAGCGAUGGGAGGGGGAUCACGCCGUUAAAACCCAUGAAUUUCAAUUCAAUCGAAAUUCGAUUA